rnacentral:rRNA from 1 species
UACGAAGGGGGCUAGCGUUGCUCGGAAUGACUGGGCGUAAAGGGCGCGUAGGCGGAUAUCUUUGUCGGGCGUGAAAUUCCAGGGCUUAACCUUGGGGCUGCGUUCGAGACGGGGGUGUCUUGAGUGGGGGAAGAGGGUCGUGGAAUUUCCCAGUGUAGAGGUGAAAAUUCGUAGAUAUUUGGGGAAGAACACCGGUGGCGAAGGCGGCGACCUGGUCCUUUACUGAGCUGAGGCGCGAAAGCGUGGGGGAGCAAAACAGG